UAUAGCCUCUACCUUGCCAUAUGAAUUUAUGAAAAUAUGAUUAAUACAGAGUUGGUGUUAAAUUAGUCCUUUUUAAACUAUGAAAAACAAAUUUAUUUUUCUCUUUCUCCAGGUAUCCCAUUAUAUGGCAUCUAGAAAGGACAAGCUAUUUCAUGUAAUUGUUUAUGGCAAGAAAGACAGAGUAAAAAUUUGGACUCCUGGUAUGGACUAUGUAUUUCAAGUGAAGAUAGUCAGAGGCAAAGAUUACAGUGUAUCUAUAAUGAAAACAGUGACUACAAAACCAGAAGAACCUGAGAGACAGAAAAGCUUCAAUAUUUCCACACAUUCUUUUUCUCUGCACUGGAGCCUGCCCGCUGGCUAUGAGGAUGGGUAUCAUGUGGAUCUUGUUCCUGACACUGGCUUUCUUACUAUCAAAGAUCUUGGGGGUGAAGAAUAUCAGGUAUAGUUUUCAUUAUUGUGCUUGGCCAGCCUGCUUGUAUUUGUAUUUGGUCCUAGUAGGAAAGUUUUCUAUGAAACUCAUCCACCAUGAAAACUUAACUCCUUAGAGAGUUUUUAAAAGCAUAAGAUGAAGACAAAAACAU
rnacentral:lncRNA from 1 species